ACAGAAGACGAAGAGCUGGAAUAGAGCUCGCCUCGGCUCUGCUGGCCUUGGCUGCAGCUCUUCCAGAAACCCGGGGCGCCCACAGAAGAAUCUCUUACCUGGCUCUCUCUUCAGGGAUGACAUCAUCGGCUCACACCAGUCUUCCAGGACCACCUUCUGGAUGCCAAGGCUGCUGCUCGAGUACCUGCUGUGCACCUCUACCUCCUGAGCCAAGGAGCACGGAUUCCAGGAACCCACUACCAUACAGAGCAACUCCUUGUGGACCCCCCUGGGAUCAGGACAGCGAGGGACAAGCGACAAAGAGGAUCAUCAGUGGCCAGCUAGUUUCUCUGGGGUUCAAACCUUGAACCAGUGCCCUAGUGAGGGGGCACUGGCCAUGGCCCUUGACCUUUGCUCUGCUUGUGUCUUGAGUCUGAGCCCUUUCCUGUACAUCUGUGCUCGUGUUCAUCUGCUAGUGAACUGGAGUGCUGCCCUCCCCGAGGAGGGUCGUCCCUUGUGACUGAUCAUGCUGUCCUAACAAUGUCCUGAGCAAAAGGGUCCCUUUGGGAACCUCUCAGGAGGGGGACCCGGGUCAGGGGCGACCAGCAUCUUGCUGGCAACUCCGUGGGUGGGGUGGGGUGGGGUGCUUCCUUCUGGAAUGAGCACGUGGCUGACCCCCCAAGGCAUGUCCCCUCCCCCUCCUCCACCCACCUUCUCGGAGAUGUCCCUUUUGGGGUAGUGGGGACAUUAGGAGCAACCUCCUAGGGUUGUUGUGAGAAUUAAAUGAACUGCAGCAGCCUGAGGCAGGGCUGGGCAGAGACCUCAGCACAUGUUUGUUGAAAGGUUUGCAGGUGGAUCUAGUCCUCCCGUUCAUGGCUCAUGUGUCUCAACCAUUCUCUCGCAGACUCCUGCAGCCCCUAUGCCCAGGGCUCUCCUUGCGCCAGCCCCGGCUUCUCGAGGCCUGUCUACACUCGCUGCUUUCCUUCCUCACCUCCAAUUUCCCCUCCAACCCACUGCUUCCUGACUCGCUCUUCUCCAUCGAACGGCUCUCGCUCAGCUGGCAUUGCCCACCGGCCAUGCCGGCUGAAGAAAAGAAGACUGAGGACCCCAGGAUGCCCAGCGCGAGGACCCCAGGAAGCCCAGCGCGAGGACUCCACCCACGACGCCCAGCGCGAGGACUUCACGCACAACACGUUGCAACCCUCCUGGAUUAGGCCAAAGCCAUCAUCUGGAAUCCUGCGUGGGACCCUGGACACACGGACACAGACACCUGCCCCCAGGACCCUCCAACUGUAAAUCCCUCUACAGCCACGGGGACGCCUUGCACAUUUCCUGUGGGACAUGCUGGACCCAAGACUCUGGACCCUGGCCUCCCCUUGAGUAGAGAGACCCACCUACUGACUGAUGAACUGCGCUGACCCUGGGGUCAGGCAUGUGGCCUUGAUCCCUACCCAUGGACCCUGAGACUUGGGGGGGUGGGAGAAAGGCUGUUGUGUCUUCACUGUUGAGUCUACAUCUGUGAAAUGGGCUCAGGUUCCUACCUCACAGGGCUGUUGUGAGGCAGCCGCAAUGUGCUUAGAAGCAUGGGGCCUAGUGGCUCAUGGUGCUUUCAAUAAAUUUCUUGUUUUAACUAAAGCA
rnacentral:lncRNA from 1 species